GCAUCGGUAGUGCAAUAGAUAAGCACGGCAGGCCGGAUAUCUGUAGAUGUGGGUUCAAGUCCCGCCUAAGGUU
rnacentral:tRNA from 1 species